rnacentral:rRNA from 1 species
CGCCCGUCGCUACUACCGAUUGAAUGAUUUAGUGAGGUCUUCGGAUUGGAUAGUGCAGUUUUCUCCGAAAGCCGCAUCUAUCUGAGAAGAUGACCAAACUUGAUCAUUUAGAGGAAGUAAAAGUCGUAACAAGGUUUCC